UGCGUAGGCGGAAUAUCAAGUCAGUGGUGAAAUCCUGCGGCUCAACCGUAGAACUGCCAUUGAUACUGAUAUUCUUGAAUGUAGUUGAGGUAGGCGGAAUGUGUAAUGUAGCGGUGAAAUGCUUAGAUAUUACACAGAACACCGAUUGCGAAGGCAGCUUACUAAACUAUGAUUGACGCUGAGGCACGAAAGCGUGGGGAGCGAACAGGAUUAGAUACCCUGGUAGUCC
rnacentral:rRNA from 1 species